UAAGGGCGCACGGUGGAUGCCUUGGCACUAGAAGCCGAUGAAGGACGUUACUAACGACGAUAUGCUUUGGGGAGCUGUAAGUAAGCUUUGAUCCAGAGAUUUCCGAAUGGGGAAACCCAGCAUGAGUUAUGUCAUGUUAUCGAUAUGUGAAUACAUAGCAUAUCAGAAGGCACACCCGGAGAACUGAAACAUCUUAGUACCCGGAGGAAGAGAAAGAAAAUUCGAUUCCCUUAGUAGCGGCGAGCGAAACGGGAAGAGCCCAAACCAACAAGCUUGCUUGUUGGGGUUGUAGGACACUCUAUACGGAGUUACAAAGGACGACAUUAGACGAAUCAUCUGGAAAGAUGAAUCAAAGAAGGUAAUAAUCCUGUAGUCGAAAAUGUUGUCUCUCUUGAGUGGAUCCUGAGUACGACGGAGCACGUGAAAUUCCGUCGGAAUCUGGGAGGACCAUCUCCUAAGGCUAAAUACUCUCUAGUGACCGAUAGUGAACCAGUACCGUGAGGGAAAGGUGAAAAGCACCCCGGAAGGGGAGUGAAAUAGAACCUGAAACCGUGUGCUUACAAGUAGUCAGAGCCCGUUAAUGGGUGAUGGCGUGCCUUUUGUAGAAUGAACCGGCGAGUUACGAUUUGAUGCAAGGUUAAGCAGUAAAUGUGGAGCCGUAGCGAAAGCGAGUCUGAAUAGGGCGUUUAGUAUUUGGUCGUAGACCCGAAACCAGGUGAUCUACCCUUGGUCAGGUUGAAGUUCAGGUAACACUGAAUGGAGGACCGAACCGACUUACGUUGAAAAGUGAGCGGAUGAACUGAGGGUAGCGGAGAAAUUCCAAUCGAACCUGGAGAUAGCUGGUUCUCUCCGAAAUAGCUUUAGGGCUAGCCUCAAGUGAUGAUUAUUGGAGGUAGAGCACUGUUUGGACGAGGGGCCCCUCUCGGGUUACCGAAUUCAGACAAACUCCGAAUGCCAAUUAAUUUAACUUGGGAGUCAGAACAUGGGUGAUAAGGUCCGUGUUCGAAAGGGAAACAGCCCAGACCACCAGCUAAGGUCCCAAAAUAUAUGUUAAGUGGAAAAGGAUGUGGCGUUGCCCAGACAACUAGGAUGUUGGCUUAGAAGCAGCCAUCAUUUAAAGAGUGCGUAAUAGCUCACUAGUCGAGUGACACUGCGCCGAAAAUGUACCGGGGCUAAACAUAUUACCGAAGCUGUGGAUUGUCCUUUGGACAAUGGUAGGAGAGCGUUCUAAGGGCGUUGAAGCAUGAUCGUAAGGACAUGUGGAGCGCUUAGAAGUGAGAAUGCCGGUGUGAGUAGCGAAAGACGGGUGAGAAUCCCGUCCACCGAUUGACUAAGGUUUCCAGAGGAAGGCUCGUCCGCUCUGGGUUAGUCGGGUCCUAAGCUGAGGCCGACAGGCGUAGGCGAUGGAUAACAGGUUGAUAUUCCUGUACCACCUAUAAUCGUUUUAAUCGAUGGGGGGACGCAGUAGGAUAGGCGAAGCGUGCGAUUGGAUUGCACGUCUAAGCAGUAAGGCUGAGUAUUAGGCAAAUCCGGUACUCGUUAAGGCUGAGCUGUGAUGGGGAGAAGACAUUGAGUCUUCGAGUCGUUGAUUUCACACUGCCGAGAAAAGCCUCUAGAUAGAAAAUAGGUGCCCGUACCGCAAACCGACACAGGUAGUCAAGAUGAGAAUUCUAAGGUGAGCGAGCGAACUCUCGUUAAGGAACUCGGCAAAAUGACCCCGUAACUUCGGGAGAAGGGGUGCUCUUUAGGGUUAACGCCCAGAAGAGCCGCAGUGAAUAGGCCCAAGCGACUGUUUAUCAAAAACACAGGUCUCUGCUAAACCGUAAGGUGAUGUAUAGGGGCUGACGCCUGCCCGGUGCUGGAAGGUUAAGAGGAGUGGUUAGCUUCUGCGAAGCUACGAAUCGAAGCCCCAGUAAACGGCGGCCGUAACUAUAACGGUCCUAAGGUAGCGAAAUUCCUUGUCGGGUAAGUUCCGACCCGCACGAAAGGCGUAACGAUUUGGGCACUGUCUCAACGAGAGACUCGGUGAAAUCAUAGUACCUGUGAAGAUGCAGGUUACCCGCGACAGGACGGAAAGACCCCGUGGAGCUUUACUGUAGCCUGAUAUUGAAAUUCGGCACAGCUUGUACAGGAUAGGUAGGAGCCUUUGAAACGUGAGCGCUAGCUUACGUGGAGGCGCUGGUGGGAUACUACCCUAGCUGUGUUGGCUUUCUAACCCGCACCACUUAUCGUGGUGGGAGACAGUGUCAGGCGGGCAGUUUGACUGGGGCGGUCGCCUCCUAAAAGGUAACGGAGGCGCUCAAAGGUUCCCUCAGAAUGGUUGGAAAUCAUUCAUAGAGUGUAAAGGCAUAAGGGAGCUUGACUGCGAGACCUACAAGUCGAGCAGGGUCGAAAGACGGACUUAGUGAUCCGGUGGUUCCGCAUGGAAGGGCCAUCGCUCAACGGAUAAAAGCUACCCCGGGGAUAACAGGCUUAUCUCCCCCAAGAGUUCACAUCGACGGGGAGGUUUGGCACCUCGAUGUCGGCUCAUCGCAUCCUGGGGCUGUAGUCGGUCCCAAGGGUUGGGCUGUUCGCCCAUUAAAGCGGUACGCGAGCUGGGUUCAGAACGUCGUGAGACAGUUCGGUCCCUAUCCGUCGUGGGCGUAGGAAAUUUGAGAGGAGCUGUCCUUAGUACGAGAGGACCGGGAUGGACAUACCUCUGGUGUACCAGUUGUCGUGCCAACGGCAUAGCUGGGUAGCUAUGUGUGGACGGGAUAAGUGCUGAAAGCAUCUAAGCAUGAAGCCCCCCUCAAGAUGAGAUUUCCCAACUUCGGUUAUAAGAUCCCUCAAAGAUGAUGAGGUUAAUAGGUUCGAGGUGGAAGCAUGGUGACAUGUGGAGCUGACGAAUACUAAUCGAUCGAAGACUUAAUCAA
rnacentral:rRNA from 1 species